GCUCCUGUAGCUCAGUGAAAUUGAGCGAUCGCACUAGCGAGCGACAGGUCACAGGUUCUAGUCCUGUCGGGGGCA